rnacentral:snoRNA from 1 species
UUGCAGCCAAUUAAGCCGACUGUGCUCUUUUCCCCAUGGGGGCCCAGUGUGCAAUGGCUGCAAACAGCAGCCUCCUUGGUAGUGUAUGCAACCUGUUGCCUGUACAGGUAGCCCUAAGGGACCGUGGAGACAACU